AUGAACGCUAGCGACAGGCUUAACACAUGCAAGUCGAGGGGCAGCGGGGGUAGCGAUACCCGCCGGCGACCGGCGCACGGGUGAGUAACGCGUAUGCAACUUGCCUAUCAGAGGGGGAUAACCCGGCGAAAGUCGGACUAAUACCGCAUGAAGCAGGGGCCCCGCAUGGGGAUAUUUGCUAAAGAUUCAUCGCUGAUAGAUAGGCAUGCGUUCCAUUAGGCAGUUGGCGGGGUAACGGCCCACCAAACCGACGAUGGAUAGGGGUUCUGAGAGGAAGGUCCCCCACAUUGGUACUGAGACACGGACCAAACUCCUACGGGAGGCAGCAGUGAGGAAUAUUGGUCAAUGGGCGUAAGCCUGAACCAGCCAAGUCGCGUGAGGGAUGAAGGUUCUAUGGAUCGUAAACCUCUUUUAUAAGGGAAUAAAGUGCGGGACGUGUCCCGUUUUGUAUGUACCUUAUGAAUAAGGAUCGGCUAACUCCGUGCCAGCAGCCGCGGUAAUACGGAGGAUCCGAGCGUUAUCCGGAUUUAUUGGGUUUAAAGGGUGCGUAGGCGGCCUUUUAAGUCAGCGGUGAAAGUCUGUGGCUCAACCAUAGAAUUGCCGUUGAAACUGGGGGGCUUGAGUAUGUUUGAGGCAGGCGGAAUGCGUGGUGUAGCGGUGAAAUGCAUAGAUAUCACGCAGAACCCCGAUUGCGAAGGCAGCCUGCCAAGCCAUUACUGACGCUGAUGCACGAAAGCGUGGGGAUCAAACAGGAUUAGAUACCCUGGUAGUCCACGCAGUAAACGAUGAUCACUAGCUGUUUGCGAUACACUGUAAGCGGCACAGCGAAAGCGUUAAGUGAUCCACCUGGGGAGUACGCCGGCAACGGUGAAACUCAAAGGAAUUGACGGGGGCCCGCACAAGCGGAGGAACAUGUGGUUUAAUUCGAUGAUACGCGAGGAACCUUACCCGGGUUUGAACGCAUUCGGACCGAGGUGGAAACACCUUUUCUAGCAAUAGCCGUUUGCGAGGUGCUGCAUGGUUGUCGUCAGCUCGUGCCGUGAGGUGUCGGCUUAAGUGCCAUAACGAGCGCAACCCUUGCCACUAGUUACUAACAGGUAAAGCUGAGGACUCUGGUGGGACUGCCAGCGUAAGCUGCGAGGAAGGCGGGGAUGACGUCAAAUCAGCACGGCCCUUACAUCCGGGGCGACACACGUGUUACAAUGGCGUGGACAAAGGGAGGCCACCUGGCGACAGGGAGCGAAUCCCCAAACCACGUCUCAGUUCGGAUCGGAGUCUGCAACCCGACUCCGUGAAGCUGGAUUAGCUAGUAAUCGCGCAUCAGCCAUGGCGCGGUGAAUACGUUCCCGGGCCUUGUACACACCGCCCGUCAAGCCAUGGGAGCCGGGGGUACCUGAAGUCCGUAACCGCGAGGAUCGGCCUAGGGUAAAACUGGUGACUGGGGCU
rnacentral:rRNA from 1 species